rnacentral:lncRNA from 1 species
AUUGGAUAAGAAAACGAGCUUAAAAAAUGGAAACAAUAUAACCUUAAAUAAUACUGCCCGCUUGAGUGGCAGGUGGCCCCAGUCUAGCACCUCGAAUGGCAUCUAGGCGCCCAAAUUGGUGCUCCAAAGACUCCAAUGUCCUACUAUAAUCCCUCUAAUACUAUUCUUUAAACAGUCCACCAAAACUCAACGGAACUCGGGCCAAACUUCGAUAGUAUGAUUGGUAACAAAUCAUGGUUAUCCUUGGUGAUAGGUUUAGGAAUAAUGCUAUACGUACAGGAAUGAGAUUCACAGGCUUCUUACAAGCAUUUUUUAUUUGCUUGAAAUUGGUAACAUGGCCACCACUUUAACUUCAAAAAAAAAAUGACAGUGAAGCUCUAGCCGAACCCCACUACGACUCAAUCCAUCUUCAGUGGAACCUUUCAGCCCGUCACUGAGCUUCUUUCUUUGAUGCCUUUCAGCCAUCAAAUUCAUCACUAGAAGUCUCUUCUUCUAACCUUGUGGUCUCCUCCACUAUUGCAGGCGACAAUGCUAUUAGCAUUCGAGCUACUUCUGCCAUUUUUAUCACUCUCUCGCACCUUUUUGAUAAUACUAUUCUCCAGAAAUUGAUCAGAGUCAUUUGUGAAUCUUUUGAUCCAAUUGAAACAAAUCCAUCAAGAAGUUUCAAAAUCUUAUACCUAUUAACAAACAAUGGAUUCUCAUUCAUGGAACGCUUCCCAAAUCCCAUUACUCCAAAAUUCCCACGGGAUUGAGGCAGUUUGUUGAAAAGUGAGAUUAGAGCUCCAAUUAAGAUUGCCCAUUUGGGAUUGAGUACUUGAAUCACUAUAACCA